rnacentral:lncRNA from 1 species
GGGAGAGAAUGAUUGGUUAUCACACCAGAGCCACAUGAAAUGAGAAGUUGGUGGGGACUCUGCUCCAAGUCAUCCUCACUUCAAAAGCAGCCAUCACUGGACCAUUGCCAGUUUACCUGGGCAGAUCAAAGAAGAGGUGGUGAAUUAUGUAGCAACUCUUAAAGUCUCAACAGGAAGUGGCACCAUUAUUUCUACCCAUGUUUUACUUAACAAAGCAAGUCAGAUGGCCACAGCUCAUUUCAAAGCAGGAAGCAUGGUUGAAAGUCACAAUAGAGGAAAAUGAGAGAAUCUGAUUAGUCAAAUGUGCCUUUGGAAGAUAAAUGACGGUCAUUGAUCGUGUUAGGAGAUUCGAUUUCCGAGUGAUCCCCAAUGCUCAGAAGUGCGGCACAGAACGAACUCCAUUCCACAUCACAUCGCAGGCCAGCGGCUGAUCAGCUUUCAAACAAAAACAAACAAGGCUAAUCAGAAUAACUGCUGAAAAGGUCUGCCUACCAACACCCUAAGAAGGAUCCUGCAAAGAUAGUUUCACCAUUCCCCAGCAACCAUAUCAGGAAAAUUUCAAUUCUAAUAAAGAGAGAAGAAAACUGUCCCCCAGAAUGGAAUAUGUCGAAUGGGAGUGACCUUUGUCCUUCAAAGUCAAGGAAUUGUCUUCUCGGAAGUAGAAAUACCUCUGGAAGAGUUGUCUAUGAGACCCUUGGAAUUGACCCAGAAUCCUGCUGCCACAGGACCUCACAGAAUCUCCUUGAUGCGUCUUUUCUGAUAGGUGAAGGGAAAGCAACUGAAAAUAUGGCUUAACUGCCCUGGGAGGUUGUAGCUGUUGUCUUUUUUAACUACUGUCAGGUUAGGACCUUGAAUUACCUACUAAUGAAACUAAUAAGG